rnacentral:rRNA from 1 species
UACGUAGGGGGCAAGCGUUGUCCGGAUUCAUUGGGCGUAAAGAGCGUGUAGGUGGCCAGGUAGGUCGGUUGUGAAAACUGGAGGCUCAACCUUCAGAGGUCGACCGAAACCAUCUGGCUAGAGUCCGGGAGAGGAGAGUGGAAUUCCUGGUGUAGCGGUGAAAUGCGCAGAUAUCAGGAAGAACAGCCGUGGCGAAAGCGGCUCUCUGGAACGGUACUGACGCUGAGACGCGAAAGCGUGGGGAGCGAACAGG